ensembl:snRNA U2 U2 spliceosomal RNA
AUCGCUUCUCGGCCUUUUGGCUAAGAUCAAGUGCAAAAUGUUUUUAUCUUUGUCAAUCCCAGAUAGGUGAAAUGUGUUAAUAUUUCAGGGCAAUCUAAUCAGAAUUUUAAAAAUUACAUGUGAGGUCAAGCAUUUUUUAUGUGUUUAGGAGCCACUAAAUUAUUUUCUAUGGAUUGUUUCUUCAUAUC